AAAGUCGUAACAAGGUUUCCGUAGGUGAACCUGCGGAAGGAUCAUUAACAAAUCAGCAUAGGACCGCAAGGUCCUAUAUACACCCCAAGCCUGUGAAGGGUAUCCACCUGGAUCGGCUUUGGUUGCAGUCCUUUGGGCUGUAGGCUAGGCUGUCGCAAGAUGGUCGAGCCACAUAGACGCUUGUAUGUUUGACAGAGUUCAGUUGCUUAUAAAAGAUACAACUUUUAACAAUGGAUCUCUUGGCUCUU
rnacentral:misc_RNA from 1 species